rnacentral:rRNA from 1 species
ACCGAGAUUCCCCCAGUAGCGGGGAGCGAACGGGGAGCAGCCCAGAGUCAGCAUCAAUAUUUACCGCAGGAGAAGGGUCUGGAAAGGCCGGCAACAAAGGGUGAUAGCCCCCCGUAUCUGAAACGGUAAGUGUUGAGAUCUCGAAGAGUAGGGCGGGACGCGUGUUAUCCUGUUUGAAUAUGGGGGGACCAUCCUCCAAGGCUAAAUACUCCUGACUGACCGAUAGUGAACCAUUACCGUGAGGAUAAGGUAAAAAAAACCCGGGCGAGGGGAGUAAAAUAUAACCUGAAACUCUGUACGUACAAACAGUGGGAGCACCCGAAAGGGUGUGACUGCGU